rnacentral:rRNA from 1 species
AGAUAGAACAGUACUUUAAUUUAUUCGCCUGAAAAUUACAAGCAUAAGCUUAAAACUCAAAGGACUUGGCGGCGCUUUAGAUCCCCCUAGAGGAGCCUGUCCUAUAACCGAUAACCCCCGUUAAACCUUACCUCCUUUUGCCUUCAGUCUAUAUACCGCCGUCGUCAGCCUACCCUUUGAGGGUACUAUAGUAAGCAGAAUUGGUUAAGCCCAAGACGUCAGGUCAAGGUGUAGCAUAUAAGAAGAGAAGAGAUGGGCUACAUUUCCUAUUUUAGGGUCCACGGAAAAUGUAUUGAAACAAACAUAUUGUAGAAGGUUUUAGUAGUAAGUAAAAAAUAGAGCGUUUU